AUUAUUUUGUCUAUGUACACAACAAGUCAUCCUUUUGACUCAUCAUUAUAACUAAAACUAAAUCUUGAUAAGAAUCUUGUAAAAUGGUUACACAAAAUAUUGUAACCAAUGCUUUUUCUACUGCUGAUUUUUAGUCAUUCAAGCUAUAUCAAAAUCCUUCGCAGGCUUAGCAUUUUUAAAGUUAUCAAAUAUUAUUUAUUACCAUUUUGGAAACCAUAUUAAAAAUAUUAAUAAAGUAUAUAGAUUUAACUCCUAAUGACUCUAACCUCCAAGGGAACAAGAUAUUUGCUCGAGGUAGGUAAUUGGUGAGUUAUUAGGAACGUAAUCCAUAAAUAAGGGCAUAUUCUAUUUUUUUCUACUAACUGCAUGUAUUACCUAUGAUACUUAAAGUUAGUUAGCUUAUUAAGCUUCUAAUGGCUGAUUCAUGCAACUAAUGUUUUAGUUUGAGUUUAUCACUCAAGAUGGCAGCACAAUUGAGGCACCUCCAUCAAACAAACAUCUCCAAGAAACACAACUCUCUCCUAUCUUAAAAUAAUAACUAACUAUUAUAUUUUAAUUUAAAAUUUUACUAUUUUAUAAUUUAUAUAACUAUAUUUUGAUUUUAAUAUAUUAGUUAACUAUUUAAACUAAGUAAUAAAUUCUGAUGAUAAAUGUUUUAUUAUAAACACAUGAAAACUUAUUAAUGUAAAAUAUCUGGCUACCAAUCAAAUUACGUUGCAAAAAAUAAAAAACAUUAUUUGGGAAAUUUUUUUUUUGCCUUAAACAAAAUAUUUGAAAAAAUUGUGACAGAAGUCCGUAAAAAAACAUAAUAAUUAUUAUUUAAACUCAAAAAAUUCAAUGCUUUUAAAUUUUAAAAAAAUCAAUAUUAUUACAUAUAUGCAAGAUAGAGAAAGAGAGAUAGUCAAAUCACGUACGUACUUGCUGUUUUUAGCAACCUCCUCCUUGUAUGCAUUCAUAAGUUUUUGGGAAACCCCUCCCCCAUACCUGCAUCUAUACUGUAAGGAAGACCACUUGUAUAAAACAACAAAACUUUGAUAACAAUUUUAUGUUAAUAUAAAACAACAGCAAGUUAUUCAGUUACUAAUUUUAAAAGUAACAGAAUAUGAUGAAUAUUUGUAUUUAACAGGUAUAAGUAGAAAUAAAUAAGGCACUAUCUAUUUUGUUAAACAUUUUUUGUUGAAAAAUAUAGAAAAUAAACUUACCCUUAUAGAUAUUGACUUUGGGAUUGAAUAUAAUUUUGAAAAAAAGAAAUAUCCUCUACGAUCUACACAAGUAAAAAACACAAAAGAAAACAAAACCUCUGCAGAUGCUUCACUGCAACUACCAUCACUUGUGACCGAAUCACCUUCACCAUACAUACUUAUCCCACCAGAAAAACUUGAGCCACUUAAACCUGAAUAUUCCUCAUGGACCAAAAUGGAAACUGAAAUGUUAAAAAAAGAAUUUCAUUUGUUUAUUAACGAAGAAGUUUCUGAAUGGCCAAAAAAAGAGAAAAUUAUCAGUUUUAUAAAGAUAGCGCUUCCAAGAUUCCACAAUGGAAUAGUGAGAACAAAAAUGGUAAAUGAAAGAAGCAAAGCUAGGAAAAAAAAGAGAGAAAAAGAAGAACAAUUGAAAAAACGUUUAAUUUCAAUGAGCCUGUAAACUGGCAUUAAAAAAAUUUUUUUUAUGGUUUUUGUUUACUUAUUUUCAACUGUUUUUAAGUUUUAAACUUUUAACAUUUUUAAA